rnacentral:misc_RNA from 1 species
UCCGAGUUGACCCCGGCAGUCUCCUAUGAGUCCCCACCAUCACGUGCUGGCAACAUGCGGCGGGGGUUGCGCUCGUUGCGGGACCUAACCCAACAUCUCACGACACGAGCUGACGACAACCAUGCACCACCUGUAAACCGGCCACAAGUGGCUGACACAUCUCUGCAUCAUUCCGGUUCAUGUCAAGCCUUGGUAAGGUUCUUCGCGUUGCAUCGAAUUAAUCCGCAUGCUCCGCCGCUUGUGCGGGCCCCCGUCAAUUUCUUUGAGUUUUAGCCUUGCGGCCGUACUCCCCAGGCGGGGUACUUAAUGCGUUAGCUACGGCACGGAUCCCAAGGAAGGAAACCCACACCUAGUACCCACCGUUUACGGCGUGGACUAC